GAUGAAGAACGUAGCGAAAUGCGAUACUUGGUGUGAAUUGCAGAAUCCCGUGAACCAUCGAGUCUUUGAACGCAAGUUGCGCCCGAAGCCAUUAGGCCGAGGGCACGCCUGCCUGGGCGUCACACGUCGUUGCCCCCCCAUCUACUCCUUCGGGAUUGCGGGGGGCGGAUGAUGGCCUCCCGUGUGCCUCGCCGCGCGGUUGGCAUAAAUGCCAAGUCCUCGGCGACGCACGCCACGACAAUCGGUGGUUGCGAAACCUCGGUUGCCCGUCGUGUGCGGUCGUCGCGCAUCGAGGGCUCGAAAAAAUUGCCGGGUUCCGGCUCGGCUUUCAACGCGACCCCAGGUCAGGCGGGGUUACCCGCUGAAUUUAAGCAUAUCAAUAAGCGGAGGA
rnacentral:misc_RNA from 1 species